rnacentral:tRNA from 1 species
GCCUUCGUGGUGUAACGGUAGCAUACUCGGCGCGUAUUCGAGAGGACCAGGUUCGAGUCCUGGCAAGGUCA